GCAUCGGUGGUUCAGUGGUAGAUUGCUCGCCUGCCACGCGGGCGGCCCCGGUUCGAUUCCCGGCCGAUGCA
rnacentral:tRNA from 1 species